rnacentral:rRNA from 1 species
UACGGGGGGGCAAGCGUUGUUCGGAUUUACUGGGCGUAAAGGGCGCGUAGGCGGUCGUGACAAGUCACUUGUGAAAUCUCCGGGCUUAACUCGGAACGGUCAAGUGAUACUGUCGGACUAGAGUACAGAAGGGGCAACUGGAAUUCUCGGUGUAGCGGUGAAAUGCGUAGAUAUCGAGAGGAACACCUGCGGCGAAGGCGGGUUGCUGGGCUGAUACUGACGCUGAGGCGCGAAAGCCAGGGGAGCGAACGGG